rnacentral:lncRNA from 1 species
GGAGGAACGCACCGCGAGCACCAACGUCCCGCCCCUGUCUUGGCGGUCCUCAGAAUGAAAUCCAGAUUCACUAAAGAGUUCCUCAGUCCUCUAGGACCUGGCCCUUUUUUCUCAUUGAUCAUACUGCCUGCUCCUAUUCUGAGGGUAACAGGAACCUCGAGGAGGGUAAGUGACAUUUAGACUGAGACUCCAAGGGUGAGGGGAGACUUCCAGGCUGGGGGACGGGGUCUGUAAAUUCCCACUGUCAUGUGGGAGGAAAGAUCAUCCAGCGGGUCCUGAAAUUGGCUGCACGUUGGCGUCAUCUGGGGACCUUUACAUGCUGCUGAUGCUCAGCUUCUGCGCCACGUGCUCUGAUUUAGUUGAUGAGGUGCAGACCUGGGCAUAGAAAGCAGUUGCUUUCAAGAGUAGCUGUGAACAUGGUGAUCUCUUCUAGAAUGUCCCCAUUUCCCAGGAGGAUAUUCUGUUUCCCUAUAACGUUUUGAAGAGUCUCAGUAGAAGCAGCCUGUUUUUGACAAAAAGAUCGUCAGAGUACAGCUCAGCACAUUCUCACAGACAGAAUCGCCCUGGUCCAGACAUCGUCAGCAUCCUGGAAGCUGCCAUGCCACCUAUCACUACCCCCACCAAGGGAGCCACUACGCUGACUUCUAAAUACAGAUUAUUUUUGUCUGUUGUUGUGCUUUAUAUAAAAAUGUAUGCUCUGUG